rnacentral:lncRNA from 1 species
GGGUUUUGAUUCCAACAAACAUGGAGGUGAGAAAUGUUUGCCACAUCCUCAAGAGUAGGGGUGAAUUCUCCCCAAGAACAAACAAAGGUGUGUGUAAUAAACCGAUCCUAAAUUAAUAUUUAAUUAAUAAAAUAUUCAAGUAAAAGACAAUUUUACCCCGAGAAUAUUUUAAAAGUUUUAAACAUGACUUUUUGGCCAAUUUCGGCUCCUAAUUCUAGCCAUC